GCCUCCUGCCAUUUCUGCUG
rnacentral:misc_RNA from 1 species